rnacentral:tRNA from 2 species
GGCUCAGUGGUCUAGUGGUAUGAUUCUCGGUUCGGGUGCGAGAGGCCACGGGUUCGAUUCCCGUCUGAGCCC